UAAGCAGGACAGGUGAUCGCGGCUGGCCAGACGAAAGGGGCCAGGUGAGGAAAGUCCGGGCUUCGCAGGGCAGGAUGCCGGAUAACGUCCGGUGGAGGUGACUCCCAGACCAGUGCAACAGAAAUAAACCGCCUCACUNNNNNNNNNNNNNNCCGGGCCCGACCCGGUAAGGGUGGAAAGGCAGUGUAAGAGACUACCGCCUGGCUGGUAACAGGCAGGGCACAUGUAAACUCCAUUCGAAGCAAGACCGAAAAGAAAGCUAUGCGGCUGCCCGUCGCGCUUUCAGGUGGGUCGCUGGACUCUGUUGGCAACGGCAGAGCUAGAUAGAUGAUCACCCAACGACAUAACCCGGCUUAUCGUUCUGCUUACCAG
rnacentral:RNase_P_RNA from 2 species